rnacentral:misc_RNA from 1 species
CUGUUGUGGGCCCAGUGGCAG